rnacentral:rRNA from 1 species
GAGAAGUAUUGUUAAGGAACUCGGCACAAUGACUCCGUAACUUCGGGAGAAGGAGUGCCAUGAGAGUGGCCGCAGAGAAAUGGCCCAAGCAACUGUUUAGCAAAAACACAGGUCUAUGCAAAACCGCAAGGUGAAGUAUAUGGGCUGACGCCUGCCCGGUGCUGGAAGGUUAAGGGGAGAGGUUAGCGCAAGCGAAGCUUUGAACUUAAGCCCCAGUAAACGGCGGCCGUAACUAUAACGGUCCUAAGGUAGCGAAAUUCCUUGUCGGGUAAGUUCCGACCCGCACGAAAGGCGUAAUGAUUUGGGCACUGUCUCAACGAUACACCCGGUGAAAUUGAAAUACCAGUGAAGAUGCUGGUUACCUGCGCCAGGACGGAAAGACCCCAUGGAGCUUUACUCCAGUUUGAUACUGGGAUUCGGCAUGGUAUGUACAGGAUAGGUGGGAGACUGAGAAGGUAUGACGUCAGUUGUACCGGAGUCGCUGUUGGGAUACCACCCUUACCAUGUUGGAUUUCUAACCUGUGGCCGUAAGCCGGUCAGGGGACAAUGUCAGGCGGGGAGUUUGACUGGGGCGGUCGCCUCCGAAAGGGUAUCGGAGGCGCUCAAAGGUUCCCUCAGAAUGGUUGGAAACCAUUCGAAGAGUGCAAAGGCAGAAGGGAGCUUGACUGUGACACCGACGGGUGGAGCAGGUACGAAAGUAGGACUUAGUGAUCCGGUGGUAUAAAGUGGGAUUGCCAUCGCUCAACGGAUAAAAGCUACCCUGGGGAUAACAGGCUUAUCACUCCCAAGAGUUCACAUCGACGGAGUGGUUUGGCACCUCGAUGUCGGCUCAUCGCAUCCUGGAGCUGUAGCAGGUUCCAAGGGUUGGGCUGUUCGCCCAUUAAAGCGGUACGCGAGCUGGGUUCAGAACGUCGUGAGACAGUUCGGUCCCUAUCCGGCGCAGGCGGAGGAAAUUUGAUAGGAGCUGUCCUUAGUACGAGAGGAUCGGGAUGGACGGACCGCUGGUGUAUCUGUUGUACUGCCAAGUGCAUCGCAGAGUAGCCAAGUCUGGAAGGGAUAAACGCUGAAGGCAUCUAAGCGUGAAGCCCCCCUAAAGAUAAGAUUUCCCAUACCAUAAGGUAGUAAGACCCCUUGAAGACGACGAGGUAGAUAGGGCAGAGGUGGAAGUACGGUAACGUAUGGAGCUGACUGUUACUAAUCGGUCGAGG